rnacentral:rRNA from 1 species
GAUGAACGCUGGCGGCGUGCCUAAUACAUGCAAGUCGAGCGAACAGAUGCUGAUCUUGCUCCUCGGACGUGAGCGGCGGACGUGUGAGUAACACGUGUAUCACCUACCUAUCAUACUGGUAUAACUUCGGAACACCGGAUCUAAUCCCGUAGAAUAUAUUGAACCGCAGGGUUCAAUAGAAAAAUACGGCUUUUCUGGCACUUAUAGAUGGAUCUGGGCGGUAUGAUAGAGUUGGUGAGGUAACGGCUUACGAAGGCAACCAUGCGUAGCCGAGUGGAGAGGCUGGUAGGCCACCCUGGAAGUGAGACACGGUCAAGACUCCUAAGGGAGGGCGCAGUAGCGAAUCUUACGCAAUGGGGGAAAGCCUGACGGAGCAACGCGGAGUGAGUGAUGACGGUCUUCCGAUCGUAAAACUCUGUUAUUAGGGAAGAACCACUGUGUAAGUAAAUAUGCCCGUAUUGACGGUAACUAAUAAGAAAGCAACGGCUAACUACGUG